CCUCAACACCCAAACCAUGUCAUUUGCAAAGGUGACCACUGGAAGUCAGACUGCCCUCUGAGUUGAAGGCCCCAGGCAUCAGACCCAUCUGACCAGCUGGUCCAGCAAGACUGAAGGUCCCCAGGGAACUCUCUGCCUUCUCCCUCUGGCCAGACUGUCAUCUCCACCAAGGAGCACCAGACAAACAGAUGCCUUACUGAACAAUGUCACCUCUCUGGCUAAAUUUCAACAGACUCUUCAACAGCUAACAGAAGCUCAGCCUAAAGAGAAGGGAAAUCCCAUAUUCCACCCUGGAGAUUUAGUACUGGGAAAGUGUCUCCCCUCAUGAUCUCCUUCCCUAGGACCAACUUGGGAAGGACCAUACACCAUAAUCCUGUCAACUCUAUCAGCUAUCAAGGAUUACGGGAUGUCAUACAACACAUCAAGGGCUUGAAUAACUAUACUCAAUGGGCCUUAAAUGAUGCUACAACUGGUCUUUCUCUUGUGAAUGAAGAAUGAAAAUUAAUGAGGCAAGCCAUCCUCCAACGUCAGAAGGCAUUCUAACAGCAAUAUGAGGGGUACUUGUACAA